GCCGGGUGUUGUGGCGGGCGCCUGUGGUCCCAGCUACGUGGGAGGUGGAGGCAGGAGACUUGCUUGAGCCCAGGAGUUGGAGGUUGCUGGGAGUUGUGAUGCCACAGCACUCUACCCAGGGUGACAGAUUGAGGCUCUGUCUCAAAAGAGUGAUACUACCUGAGCUUGAGCUUGAGACCGCACUUGCAUUCUUUUUCUUCUUGUUUUUGAGACAGAGUCUCACUCUGUUGCCCUGGGUAGAGUGCUGUGGUGUCAUAGCUCACAGCAACCUCAAACUCUUGGGCUCAAGAGAUCCUCUUGCCUCAG
rnacentral:SRP_RNA from 1 species